AAGAUUUGUCUAACGUACAAGUUGCCGUAUGUCGCCAAUUUGGACAGAAUCAGCUUGACUCUGGAUAUGCUUCAUCAUUGUGAGCUUUCCUGAUCAUUGGGACUCUUGACUGAACCCAGCUGCUGUUUUUGGGCCUGCCCUGCUUGUACCUCUGGGGAUGAGUCCCUGACCUGCUGGUAGCAUCACUGCACUUGGAUCCCUGUUCCCUAGGAAGUUGCAGGCCCUCACUGCUCUUGGACAUCAUCUUCCUCAAAGUGUUCAAUUUCUUUCUGUGCACUGACUGCAUCUUCUCUACCAAGAAGACUACUGGAUCUUGCAGCAGCAAAGGCUUUCAGGUGAGCCUCAACAGCAUCCAUGGGCUUUGCUGUGGUCUUUUGGUCUCCAUUUAACCAGUUGCUUGGUCGCAAAGCAAACAACCUGCUGUGAGAGGAUCUGCCAGGGAAGAGCCUUUACUUAAUGUUGGGAGAAAGGACAUAUGAAGUGACCUGCAACCUCUGCACCAAGGAUGGGACUUAGCUGUGACCAGGUAGUCUCAGAUGGGAGAAGCAGGAAUUUUAUAUUGUUUGGAACGUAGAAGGAGACUUCUGUCUCACUGUUUUCUUGCCUAGAGUAUUUCUAAGAGUAAGAUGAGGGUGGGCCCUGAUAAACAAAUUUGGCAAUGAGGAGGUGACAUACCUUGUAGAAAAGGCAGAGUAGGGGCCUAAUAGACCUAGCAAAGUGGGGAGCUGGUGAGCUUUUAGCAAA
rnacentral:lncRNA from 1 species